ACACAAAAGUGUCAUGGUAGGAGAGCGUUCUAUGUGUGAAGAAGGUGUACCGUGAGGAGCGCUGGAACGCAUAGAAGUGAGAAUGCCGGUAUGAGUAGCGCAAGACAGGUGAGAAUCCUGUCCACCGUAAGACUAAGGUUUCCAGGGGAAGGCUCGUCCGCCCUGGGUUAGUCGGGACCUAAGGAGAGACCGAAAGGUGUAUCCGAUGGACAACAGGUUGAUAUUCCUGUACUAGAGUAUAUAGUGAUGGAGGGACGCAGUAGGCUAACUAAACCAGACGAUUGGAAGUGUCUGGUCAAACAGUGAGGUGUGAUAUGAGUCAAAUGCUUAUAUCUUUAACAUUGAGCUGUGACGAGGAGCGAAGUUUAGUAGCGAAGUUAGUGAUGUCACACUGCCAAGAAAAGCUUCUAGCGAUACAUAUACUCUACCCGUACCGCAAACCGACACAGGUAGUCGAGGCGAGUAGCCUCAGGUGAGCGAGAGAACUCUCGUUAAGGAACUCGGCAAAAUGGCCCCGUAACUUCGGGAGAAGGGGCGCUGAUUUUAGAUCAGCCGCAGUGAAUAGGCCCAAGCAACUGUUUAUCAAAAACACAGCUCUCUGCUAAAUCGUAAGAUGAUGUAUAGGGGGUGACGCCUGCCCGGUGCUGGAAGGUUAAGAGGAGUGCUUAGCGUAAGCGAAGGUAUGAAUUGAAGCCCCAGUAAACGGCGGCCGUAACUAUAACGGUCCUAAGGUAGCGAAAUUCCUUGUCGGGUAAGUUCCGACCCGCACGAAAGGCGUAAUGAUUUGGGCACUGUCUCAACGAGAGACUCGGUGAAAUUUUAGUACCUGUGAAGAUGCAGGUUACCCGCGACAGGACGGAAAGACCCCAUGGAGCUUUACUGCAGUUUGAUAUUGAGUAUCUGUACCACAUGUACAGGAUAGGUAGGAGCCUAUGAUAACGGGACGCCAGUUUCGUUUGAGGCGUUGUUGGGAUACUACCCUUGUGUUAUGGCUACUCUAACCCAGAUAGGCAAUCCCUAUCGGAGACAGUGUCUGACGGGCAGUUUGACUGGGGCGGUCGCCUCCUAAAAGGUAACGGAGGCGCCCAAAGGUUCCCUCAGACUGGUUGGAAAUCAGUCGUAGAGUGUAAAGGUAUAAGGGAGCUUGACUGCGAGAGCUACAACUCGAGCAGGGACGAAAGUCGGGCUUAGUGAUCCGGUGGUUCCGUAUGGAAGGGCCAUCGCUCAACGGAUAAAAGCUACCCUGGGGAUAACAGGCUUAUCUCCCCCAAGAGUUCACAUCGACGGGGAGGUUUGGCACCUCGAUGUCGGCUCGUCGCAUCCUGGGGCUGUAGUCGGUCCCAAGGGUUGGGCUGUUCGCCCAUUAAAGCGGCACGCGAGCUGGGUUCAGAACGUCGUGAGACAGUUCGGUCCCUAUCCGUCGCGGGCGUAGGAAAUUUGAGAGGAUCUGCUCCUAGUACGAGAGGACCAGAGUGGACUUACCGCUGGUGUACCAGUUGUCUUGCCAAAGGCAUCGCUGGGUAGCUAUGUAGGGAAGGGAUAAGCGCUGAAAGCAUCUAAGUGCGAAGCCCACCUCAAGAUGAGAUUUCCCAUGAUUUUAUAUCAGUAAGAGCCCUGAGAGAUGAUCAGGUAGAUAGGUUAGGAGUGUAAUUGUGGUGACACAUUUAGCGGACUAAUACUAAUAGCUCGAGGACUUAUCCAAAAAGGUUAAGUUAAUAAGGGCGCACGGUGGAUGCCUUGGCACUAGAAGCCGAAGAAGGACGUGACUAACGACGAAAUGCUUUGGGGAGCUGUAAGUAAGCGCUGAUCCAGAGAUGUCCGAAUGGGGGAACCCACUAGUUAAUGACUAGUAUCCAUAUCUGUUAAGGAUAUGAGAAGGAAGACGCAGUGAACUGAAACAUCUAAGUAGCUGCAGGAAGAGAAAGCAAAAGCGAUUGCCUUAGUAGCGGCGAGCGAAACGGCAGGAGGGCAAACCGAAGUGUUUACACUUCGGGGUUGUAGGACUGCGAUAUAGGAUUAAUCAUUAUAGAAGAAUUACCUGGGAAGGUAAGCCAAAGAGAGUAACAGCCUCGUAUUUAAAAUGAUAGAUUAACCUUAGCAGUAUCCUGAGUACGGCGAGACACGCGAAAUCUCGUCGGAAUCUGGGAGGACCAUCUCCCAACCCUAAAUACUCUCUAGUGACCGAUAGUGAACCAGUACCGUGAGGGAAAGGUGAAAAGCACCCCGGGAGGGGAGUGAAAUAGAACCUGAAACCGUGUGCCUACAACAAGUUCGAGCCCGUUAAUGGGUGAGAGCGUGCCUUUUGUAGAAUGAACCGGCGAGUUACGAUAUGAUGCGAGGUUAAGUUGAAGAGACGGAGCCGUAGGGAAACCGAGUCUUAAUAGGGCGCCAUAGUAUCAUGUUGUAGACCCGAAACCAUGUGACCUACCCAUGAGCAGGUUGAAGGUGAGGUAAAACUCACUGGAGGACCGAACCAGGGCACGUUGAAAAGUGCUUGGAUGACUUGUGGGUAGCGGAGAAAUUCCAAACGAACUUGGAGAUAGCUGGUUCUCUCCGAAAUAGCUUUAGGGCUAGCGUCGAUGUUAAGUCUCUUGGAGGUAGAGCACUGUUUGGGUGAGGGGUCCAUCCCGGAUUACCAAUCUCAGAUAAACUCCGAAUGCCAACGAGAUAUAAUCGGCAGUCAGACUGCGAGUGCUAAGAUCCGUAGUCGAAAGGGAAACAGCCCAGACCACCAGCUAAGGUCCCAAAAUAUAUGUUAAGUGGAAAAGGAUGUGGGGUUGCACAGACAACUAGGAUGUUAGCUUAGAAGCAGCUAUUCAUUCAAAGAGUGCGUAAUAGCUCACUAGUCGAGUGACCCUGCGCCGAAAAUGUACCGGGGCUAAAACAUAUUACCGAAGCUGUGGAUG
rnacentral:rRNA from 1 species